rnacentral:rRNA from 1 species
UACGGAGGGGGCAAGCGUUGUUCGGAAUCAUUGGGCGUAAAGGGCGCGUAGGCGGCCGAUCAAGUCGGAGGUGAAAUCCCUCGGCUCAACUGAGGAAUUGCCUUCGAUACUGUUCGGCUUGAGUCCUGGAGAGGGUAGCGGAAUUCCCGGUGUAGCGGUGAAAUGCGUAGAGACCGGGAAGAACACCAGUGGCGAAGGCGGCUACCUGGACAGGUACUGACGCUGAAGCGCGAAAGCUAGGGGAGCAAACAGG